rnacentral:lncRNA from 1 species
GCAUUAUUCACAAAUUCGUAUGAAUUGCAUUGACCACUCAUAGUUAUCUAAUUCUGUAUCAUUAUCAUGAGUCAUAAAUACAGACUCUUGUCACAGGUGCAGAAUCAGUGCUGAUAUUCAACCAGCAUGCAUCAGUACGAUUAUGUCAGUUGUAAAAAUAUUUAAAGAUUUAAUGCCAGUUGUUUAAGAAGUGUAAUGAUAAUAACCAGACAUCAUUCUCAUAGACAAGCAAAACCAGACAUCACUCUCAUAGACAAGCAAAACAAAGUUACUUACAUUAUAGAUAUCUCAAUACCCAACACACACAACAUUCAGGAUGCAUUCACCCAAAAAAUUAGCAAAUACACAGAACUCUCACAAGAAACUAAGUGUCUUUGGAGAAUACAAAAGGUACUCGCAGUUAUAGGUAUCUAGUAUACUCACAGUACCCAUCAUUCUGUCUGCAACAGGAGUAAUUCCUCACACUCUACAAAAAACCUCAAACACUAGAUUUACAGGGCAAAACAUAUGUAGCACUACAGCAGGCAUCACUACUCAAUACAUGCAACACUACUCAAUACAUGCAACAUAGUAAGAAAGUUUCUCAGCACUGACACAGCACUAAGUGAGAUGUUUAGUUAUGGCACAUCU